CUUGGACAGAAGACGCUGAGCAUUUUUUCAGGAAGUGGUCACCCCAGUGGUCCCCGGCUUUCUCAGACUUCCUGCAGCUCUCUACACAGUGAAUCACAGUGAGACACUGGCAGCAGGCACCACGGAAGGGACCCUCAAAUCUGAAGGCUCAAGGUCCUGGGAAAAGAUGAAGUGGAGCAUGCCUCUUGUUUCCUCCUAUUAGAUGCUGAGUGUUGGAAGUUCUUCCUAGGAUUCACAAAGAAACUCCUGCUCUUCUUCCACAUACUUUUUCCUGGGAAAGAAAACUUGUUUCACUGGCAGAAAAGAUCCCCACUGUUAAAGUGAGGUAAAGAAGAUUCUUGCUUCCUCUUUACGCAUCUGCCAUGAUUGUAAGUUUCCUGAGGCUUCCCCAGCCAUGCUGAACUGGUCUUAGAUACAUGACGGCACUGUUGUCUUCCUGAAAACCUCUUCAUCCUGCAGAAGGUGCAACUCCACAGCAUCCUGAGAGGUUGGACAUAAGCUGCUGGGAGCACAAAGGAACCCUGCCUGCCAGGCUUGAGUGUCAGAAUCUGGGCUUUCACCUGCAGGGACCUCAGGCCUCCAUCAGCCAGGCUUGGAAAGAAUGAAUGGUGCCUCUCGGUGAAUUCCUACAACCUGAAUCCUGUGACCCCACCUGUGAUGGCCCAAUGUUAUUGAAAUUACUGACUCCAUCCACUUAGCAAGUGGUAAAUACUCUGCAGGCAUAGAUUUGACUAAUGUGUUCUGUUCAGCGCCUGUUUCAACAGAUCUCAGCUGCAGGUUGCUUUCACCCCUGAAGGGACACAAUAGACCGUUAUCUGGUUACCACGGGGUACCUCGACAGUUCUGCCACCAUAGACAAUCUUUGGAGGCAGGAUUUGAACUGCAUCUGAC
rnacentral:antisense_RNA from 1 species